GAUGAAGAACGUAGCGAAAUGCGAUAAGUAAUGUGAAUUGCAGAAUUCAGUGAAUCAUCGAAUCUUUGAACGCACAUUGCGCCCUCUGGUAUUCCGGGGGGCAUGCCUGUUCGAGCGUCAUUAUAACCACUCAAGCUCUCGCUUGGUAUUGGGGCUCGCGGUUCCGCGGCCCCUAAAAUCAGUGGCGGUGCCUGUCGGCUCUACGCGUAGUAAUACUCCUCGCGAUUGAGUCCGGUAGGUCUACUUGCCAGCAACCCCCAAUUUUACAGGUUGACCUCGGAUCAGGUAGGGAUACCCGCUGAACUUAAGCAUAUCAAUGAGGA
rnacentral:misc_RNA from 1 species